GUAGGUGAACCUGCGGAAGGAUCAUUAACGAGUUAUUGAACAGGUUGUAGCUGGCCUCUCGCGAGGCAUGUGCACGCCUGGCUCAUCCACUCUUCAACCUCUGUGCACUUUUUGUAGGUCGGCGGAAGGGUAAAAGUCUCUUAACCGGGGCUCUUGCUUGGAAGCCUUCCUAUGUCUUUACAAACGCUUCAGUUUAAGAAUGUAUCUCUGCGUAUAACGCAUUUAUAUACAACUUUCAGCAACGGAUCUCUUGGCUCUC
rnacentral:misc_RNA from 1 species